rnacentral:snRNA from 1 species
AUACUCCGGUUUCUCUUCAAAUCGUAUAAAUCUUUCGCCUUUUACUAAAGAUUUCCGUGGAGAGGAACAGUUAUGAGUUUCAACCAAUUUUUAUAGCCAGCACUGUAAUUACGAUACU